rnacentral:piRNA from 1 species
UGUGAGACAUGUUGGGUUGUUUGAGGGUU